CGAUGCCAGGAGGCCGCCGCUGAAAACUCACUCAUUUCACUGUCAUGGCGUCUCCCGUUGAUAACCUUAUAUUUUCUCCACUGAUGAAUGAGACUUCUUAAAUAUUCCAGCUGACCACAGCGUGUCGGGAUGACUUGGAUGUUAAACUCGCAGACAUGUCAAUGGUAGUCAAUUGAUCCAUCACGUUGCGGAGGGCCACUGGGCUUAGAGAAGGCCAAAGCGGCUUGAUCCUCCUCAAAUCCAAAGCAAACAGGCACAACAUGGCCGCCCUGAUGCGCCGCAGCCUCGGGGCCUGAAAACAGGAGUUCCCCUGAGCAGCUAUCAAAAGCUUUGCUUCCCGCCAAGUGCAAAGGCCUCACGAUCCCCUGGAGUCUCAGAGGGCGAGGAAGACACGACCGGAGUCAACAACCUUCGUCUGUCCUUUUCAAGACCUUUACCCGCUCAGAGCAAAGCGUCUCAAUGAAUCCAGAACUUUCACUGUAAAUAUACAUAUUGAAGCCAUUACUCGAGGAGUUUGGAUGAGUCAAACGAUGAAGAAUGGCAUUACUCGAGCAGCAAAAAAGACAAGUCUUUCUUUUGAAGACGAUACUCCGUCUCCGGUUGUCGGUUGUGUUUUGCUUCCCUGAAAACAUGCACUUCAGAGAAGGAAGCGAGUGACUGGCCGCGUUCAAAAGGGAGAAUGGUGCCAAACGCUGGGCAAGAUCAACUACUCAGGACUGUUUCCUUUGCCAAGGACGGUCUGUGAAUGACUCCAACAGCUGAAGGUCUCUGCAGAUGUGAGACUUUGUCGCUGUGGAUAAUGUCAGCGACUCGUAAACGCCUUCCCGAGACCGGGAAAUUGAAUCUAUAGUCACUCCCUCGCAUUCUCAGGGGUUCAUCCCUUGACCUUCACAACCCCAAGAAAGUCUUCAGAUAUCAACGCGCGCUGGGAAGGCCACCAGGAUGUUUGCGUCAUAACAGCGAAAUGUUAUUCAUAUUAAUUUCACGUCACGGCUUCAUCUUUUACUGCUGUCGUUAAUAGAAAUAUAUUUUUUAUUAAAAUUGACAUUGUAUCAGGUGGUCAUAUUGCUGAAACUGUUGGUUUGUUCUCUUAAAAUCAAUGUCAAUCAAAUGUUUGGAAAUGCUAAAAAACGGAAACAAUCUUUGCUUCAUUAUUUUAAAACACAACUAAGCGCUUGAAUUGGAACCGGUAUUUGGUCUUGUUAUUUUGGUCAUAUUAAUGGUUCAUCUGCCCUAAUAAUUAAUUCAUUAGUGGUCAACAAAUACAAAGUGCUUGUAUGAUUACAGUAUUUAAAUAUAAGCCAGUCCAAUAAAGGAACAUGAUAAUAUCAC
ensembl:lncRNA